UGCCGAUGAUCACCAUCCCCUUCUCCUCCUCCAGCUUCUUCCUCUCCCCCGACUUGUACUCCACCACCGAUCCCGUCGCCGUCGAGUUCUCCGACCUGUUCGUUCAUUUCAUCAAUUUUAUACUCGCACCGUCUCAAAAUGACGGAGGGAGUACACGCAGGAAUUCAGAGAUUAAUUAGUUUGUAACGUGACCUUAAUAUGAGCUCGUCCCAGCAGUCGAAGCCUUCCUUGAUGAGAUUGGUGGCGGUGGCGUUCCUCAGCUCCGGCGUGUCCGGCCUGUCCGACAGGAAGACGAUCUUGACGCCGAGGAGGAGCAGCUUCUUGUACAGCGUCACCGUGUUCGGCAACGCCGACGCUCUGCCGGCGAUCAGCCACUCCAUGAACG